rfam:Schistosoma mattheei strain Denwood, Zambia genome assembly, scaffold: SMTD_scaffold0004918
GCAUUGCCGAAGAGUCCCACAACAGAACAAAACGGCCGUCCAGUGC